ACAUUUGAUGGAAAUUAUCUUUAAUGUGUAGCAACAUGAAUUAUUUUCUCGGCAUAUGCGUUGAAAAGAAACUCAUUUACCGCCAUCCACUGAAAAAAAUGUUACAUUUUAUUGCAUGUAAUUGAAAGAUUGUUGGAAGCUGGAACGGAUGGACAAGAACUUGCAAAGCUUCGCAUUCAAGUGGAUGAAAUGGGCAAGACGCUUCUUUCACAAAUAAGCCUUUCUACUUUAGAUGUUGCGCAUAGCAAUUUAGUAUGCAGCCAUCCACAGGUUCCAUCCCAUAAUUCUGCAGCCGUGGGCAUAAAUCAAAAGAUUACUGAAGUGAUUGAACUCCUUAAGUGGGGAAUGACAAGUCAGCUGUGGCCGUGGCUGUACACGGCAUUGGUGGAGCAGGAAAAACCACCUUGGCAAAUGAAGUGUAUGCAUCUUUAAAUCUGCAGGGCUGGAAAUAUUCAAAGGUCACCCUCAUAAAAAAUCUGGAAUUAAAUCCCAACAUAGAAGAAAUCCAGUCUCAGAUUUUGAGCGACUUGACGGGUAUAAAACAUGGUGUAAGACAGGAUGGACAAAAGGAGCUGAAAUCAAUCAUAGAGAGAGAAGUUGUUUUCAUAUACAUCGACAACAUCUUAAAGAGAGAACAUCUGGAAAUGCUUUUACCCAAGCUGAUCGACAGUCCAAAAAAGAAACUGAGGAUUCUUGCAACAGCUAGAAAAACAAACAUCUCUGGCGUGUUUGAAAGUUGCUGAAUUAAACACAGUAAAUUAUAUUCCAUUGAAUCCCUUUUGGUUGGGGAUGCCGUACAGCUAUUGUGCAAGAAAAUUGACAGCGAAAUAGACGUAGAGUCCAUGGUGGAAGGAAGACCUCAGGCAAUGAAAAUAGCGGAGAAAUGCAAUUGCUGUCCGCUAUUUUUGGAGUGGUGGGAGCCUAUCUCCAUAAGGAAAAAAACGAAGCUGAAGCUUAUGAAAAAGUAUGUGUUUGGCUAAGAGAUGGAGAGGAUUUCAGCUGUGACAAGGAAGACUCUUUUGAGGAUUCUCGAAUUCUAUUUGCUUACAAUGAGCUUACACUCAGUGCUCAAGAGGCGUUCCUCGACAUCUGCUCAUUUUUCUAUGAUUGGGAGUGGAAUGAAGUUGCCUGCAUUGUGGGAGAGGAAGAACUGGAUUGUCUACUAGAGGGUGCUCUGGUAAAAAAAUUACGGUUUGAAGCUUAUGAUGGAAAAACCAGAGAGAGAAUAAGCAUCCACGAUCUUAUAUUGACAGCAGGUCGUAAUAAAUCAAAAGACAGUCGCUUCAGAAGCACAGAUGACUUUUCUUCCGCCAUAAAGAAUGAAGAAUUCAAGUAUAAAAUACUCAAAUGAUUGAAAUUUUAUAAAUUACGUUAGACUCAUAUGUAACUUUUCUUGGUUCGAAUGUAUCCAGGAUCUGACCCAAACAAAAGGGGUUCGACUAGAGGUUUCUACAAGCGGGCAAGGUGCCCGAUUUCGCUUUUGACGUAUCGAAGCUUAACAACUUACGCUUCAUGGAUUAUAGUUUCAAGGAGAACGAAAUUUGGCGUCUGCCCAAGAAUUUCUCUGGAUUGAAAGUACUCAAACUUAAGAGGAGCAGGGGAACUGACAGGUGCAAUAUACAUGCAGAUAUAGAGUUUGGGCAUCUUAUUAAAUUAAAACACUUGGAGUUGGAAGGAUUUCAUGAUACGCAAAUCUCAAGUUUUGUGAAAGUUUAUGGUCUGCAGAAGUUAAAACUGUCCAGCAUUGUAGGUCUGAAGAAGCUACCAGGGUCGAUCAGGAAGCUCCGAUCACUACGAGAGUUGCAUAUAUUCAGGUGUGUUGAUCUUAUGCGAUUAGGAGAAGGAUUUGGAGAACUGAGCUCCCUUGCCAAGCUUAGUUUGAAAGGUUGCUGCAAAUUGGAAGAGCUGCCCUGCGAAUUCCAGAAACUCUUGUCAUUACAGUCACUGGACUUAACAAAUUGCUCUGGUCUUGUUCGGCUACCAGAAGGGCUUGAAAACUUACCAUCUUUAAAAUAUAUUAGUCUCCCGAACAGGGUCUGCAAGUUAUCUUUCUGGAAAAAUACAAUAACAUUUUCUGGAAUUUCAAGUUUGAAAGAAUUACCAGAUGAAAUCUGCAAAUUCACAACAUUGACUGGCUUAUCAUUGAAGUUCUGUAAGAGCUUAAAAGUGCUUCCCACCGGCUUCGGACAACGGAGUUGUCUGGAAAAUUUAGACUUGAACGAAUGUGAAAGUUUGCAAGAAUUGUGCGAUGACUUUCAUUGCCUUGCAGCGUUAAAAAGAUUAAGCAUGUCUGGAUGUAAGAGUUUGUUAAGAGUCUUAAGACUACCUGAAGGUUUUGGGAAGCUUGGCUGUUUGGAAAGGUUAGAAUUAUCAAGGUGCUAUAACAUUCGGGAAUUGAGCAGUGACUUUGGGUACCUUGGAGCUCUAAAAUACUUGGUUUUGUCCAAAUGCAAAAACCUGUCCAAACUUCCUGAAUGUUUCGGCCAGCUUGGAUACUUGGAAACGCUGGUUUUAUCAAUGUGCUCUAACCUGGAGUAGCUUUCUAGCGAUUUUCACUGCCUGACGUCUCUAAUAAAAUUAGACCUGUCGAAUUGUGAGAGCCUAAGUGAAAAAUGGAUGGCCUAUUCAGAGCUUGUGGCGGUUAAAUAUUUCACUAAGUGAAAAGAUGAUCAGGCGGCGGAUAGAAAUGCAAAGAGAAAAAAGAAGAUUGAAAUUUCGUGGUGCUAGCUGACUCCACUUGGGAGGAAACAGAGGAUUGGCAGAAAUCUUUGAUGUUGAAAUGUGGCCCCAUUAAACACAUUUAAGUAGGAAGGCCUACCGAUUCGUUGGAAGUUGAUUCCAACUAUUGUACCAGUCAUCUCUGUUUCCUCCAUAUCUACAGAUAAUAUCAAUAUCUAUGACAAGCAUUUAAGGCAGGAUUUUGCCAUGGAUUCAAAUGAAUUUUGCAUUAAAUCAUUCAACAUGCUCAUUGUCGCAUCAACUGGUUUCUCAUGCGUUGUGGGCAAUAUAAAAUAUCUUAUUUUAUGUGUUCUCUCUCUGCAUCGUAUAUGUUUAGCUUUCUAUAUAUUGUAUGGCUUUGUAUUUUGUAUGCACUCUCUUAGUAGAGUCCGGCUCUGGAGAGCUGUAUGAAGAAGUAAGAAAUUGUGAGUAGGAAGAAUGUAAUCAUGUUUGUAUUAAAUGUUUCAUUUUGUUUAAUAUAAAUUUCUAUAUUUGUUUC